rnacentral:tRNA from 2 species
AAGGAUUUAGUUUAAAUAAAACAUUAAUUUGUCAAAUUAAAGAUAAAUAUUAAUAUAUUAGUUCUUA